rnacentral:tRNA from 1 species
GGGAAUAGCUCAGUUGGUAGAGCAUCAGCUUCCCAAGCUGAGGGUCGCGGGUUCGAGUCCCGUUUCCC